rnacentral:lncRNA from 1 species
UGGGAUACUAGGGUGAGGCAUCGUGCUUUAGAGGAGUAUCUAUGCUAGGAUGACCAUUUUGCUGAAUUUUGUGCUGCCGCCGGGUUGCCAUGAGCCCAUGAUGGUAGUAGUAUGUCGGUGCACCACUUGUAUGCCUAUGUUUGUCAUGCUUCAUUCGUUAGAGUAUGGCAUUGUAUCGACAGUGGAUGUAUACCUAUGUAUCCUUCAUUCAUAUGUUAGAGUGUGUCGUUGUACUUGUACCGACAGUGUAUCUAUGCCUAUGUUUGCAUUUGUGUUGUUUGUAAUAAGAACGGUCAAAGUGUGAUUUG